AUAUUUUGAAAAGCAAUAAAGUUGUGACGAUAAUAUAAUUUUAUCGUCUAGAGUACGCCAAUGAAUGAAGUAAAACGUGUUUUUGUACCGACUCGGACGAUAUAAAAGUCGGAACGAAAAGCCUAGUUGAUUAUAGAGGUUGAUAUAUGGUAUAGUUGAUAAGAGGUGAGUUAUCCCGACCAUUUUCCGCCGUCGUCUUGGUGCGCUGAACGAAUCCGACGGUUUUUCCUUUUACCUAUUCUUAUACGAGGGUGAUCGUACCCCUACAUGUCUUUUCCGCUGGCGAGCUGAGCGAGAUAUCCUAUCCUUAUAUGUCCGUUUCAUAUUAAUAAAUGUAAUUCCUAAUCCACGCGAUCGUCGGUAGUAUUCAUUCAUGUACCACAUAAUGUUCGAUACGUAGGUUAUAAAUAUAUUUUAUUAACGAAAUAAGACAACGUUUGAGCAUCAAAUACAACGACAACGUUACGAAGUACUUUAAGUCUAUAUAUUCUUUGUUUUUAUGCUUAUAUGCAAAACUAAAAGACAAUCUACCGCACCA
rnacentral:lncRNA from 1 species